UUUACGCUCCGGGGACGCCGUUCCUGUGAUGUCAACAAAAGGACAUGGAGGGAUGAAUCAGCACGGUCCUUAUGUUCACACAACAGAACAUGGCGACCAACACAGACCGUGGUUACCGGUGGUGUUAUUAUCUGACGUCCUUCAGCAUUUCAUGCACGCGUGACCGGUUCUGUCUGGCUGCAUUCUCACAUGACGCCGCCAGUGUGCGUUGAUGCUGUGAUGAACAUCUCUGACCAGCUCUAACAAACACACACUCAGACAUAAACACACACACACACACACACACACA